AACGGUCUAUACCUGCGGUACCUGCGGAAGGAUCAUCAUUAAGGAUAUAAUCCAAAUGGGAUUGAAGGAUAUUUUUUACCAAUUUUAAUAGGUAAAAAUAACAAGGUUGGAUCUGAGUGGUCCAAUUUUUUUGUAGGCAAACUUGCUUGUUAAAAACGAAACAAUAUAAAAUAAUUUUAUACAAAAAAAAUACAACUUUUAACAAUGGAUCUCU
rnacentral:misc_RNA from 1 species